GACGAACGCUGGCGGCGUGCUUAACACAUGCAAGUCGAACGGAAACGCCCUGCUUUUGUGGGGUGCUCGACUGGCGAACGGGUGAGUAACCCGUGAGUACCCUGCCCCUCCCUUUGGGAUAACUUCAGGAAACUUGGGCUAAUCCCGCAUAGGAUCUCCCGCUGCAUGGUGGGGGCUGGAAAGUUUCGGCGGUUGGGGAUGGACUCGCGGCUCAUCAGCUUGUUGGUGGGGUAGUGGCUUACCAUGGCUUUGACGAGUAGCCAGCCUGAGAGGGUGAGCGGCCACAGUGAGACUGGGAUACGGCCCAGACUCCUACGGGAAGGAGAAGUAGCAGAGAGUGAUAAAUGGGCGGAAGCGUGAGCCAGCAACGGCGCGGCCGGGAUGGCGACCUACGGGUUAGAGUCCGCUAUCGCCUGUGACGAAGCGUGAGUGACGGUAAUGGGUAGAAAAGAACCGGCUAACUACGUG
rnacentral:rRNA from 1 species